CGUCGUUUAAGGGUUUAGGGUUGUGUCGUCUCCUCCAAUACGAGAUCUACUCACAAACUAUGGUUUCAAUAGCGGUGUUUCAUAUUCUUCUUUAACACUCCGAAAAACUUUCAGUUACAGAUUCAUCUUAUUAAUGUCCUUCUUAAAUCCAUCACCCACCCACGAUCUACUUUCAAUGCGAGCUUCACUCAAGCAAGGCGGUGGAACUGCGACUAUAAAAAGGCAAAAGACAAGGUUACAGAUAUCAGAACUGGUGCAACUAAACUUAAAGAAGCUAGCGAAGCCGACUUCCAUGGAGCAACUACUCUAAUUAAGAAGAUUGUGAAUGCUAACUGGCCAAAGAAUUCCAAUCAGUUCUCAAAGAGUUUCAGAAAGGUCAGAGACUUGCAGCUGAAAGAGAAAUUACAUAUACUCUUGUGGUCACUAAAGAUAUACCUACCAGUUAUAAUACACGGGAACUGGAUAUUGAAUCUUUAAGGACCUCCCAAGAGCAAGCUCUUCUUCUACAAUAAAAAAUAUAAUAUCAGCUUUAACAUUGAUAACUCACAUGCCGCAACUGCACAAGCCACUGCUCAACUCAGAAAAGCAUCUAAAACUCAAAGCAAAUUCAUCCUUGGCAUGCCUUUUUAUUCACAUAUUUGGGACUGUCAUCAUCUUUAUCCUGGUCUGAGCAGCAUCAACCGAAGUAGAGUCGAGGAAACUAUACAAGUUACCACAUUAAAGAUAUAUAUAUAUUGUACAGAUUCUUUGUACUGUAUCUUCCUUCAUCCCUUGCAAUCGAAUUGAAUCUUAGCAUUUAUGUAUUAAACCAUCUUAAUGAAUAUUUAUAGCAAAA